UUUUCCUUGUAGAGACCUGGGACAGCUCUGACCUUAAGGGUCUGGUGGAAAAGAGCGCACGCCGGAAACCCUAUUUAUUGAGGAGAAAGACAUUCAAGAAAGUUCCACCCAAGUAAGGCAAGGGAUUGGGUUUCAGGGGUGGCUUGGUGAUGUCUUGAGGUCAGCAGAUUGAUGGACAUCUGGGAAGGCCACACCCGUCUCAGGGGCUGUGUCGGGUCAAGGCAGAGGGAGUGAAAAGGACACUAGGUCCCCGGCCCAGCCAGAGCAGCUCCUCAGUCCAGUCCCCUGUGCGCUCAGAUGCUCACAGCUCACACACAGCCACGGCUGGCUCACAACCUGGCGUCCACUGUCAAGGGCAUGGGCUCCUCACAGGAGGACUCCAGCCCCGCCCCCUCCAUCCUGCCCCUCUGCAUUGUGACGCCCUCUGCCCUGAGGAGGUCCUCGCCGGGUGGCUCUCCACCUCCAGACGUCCUGCCUGUCACAGAGGCCCCGUCUCUGGAUUCUCUUGUGCAGCACCACAAGGACCAAGACCCACAGACGCAUGCGGAAGGGGUGCGGGACCCUGGUCCCCUCCUUCCCUGUGACGCUCUUCCACUCUGAGGGCCACAGGGUAGGGAGCACGUUGAGGGGCCCAGGGAGGGCGCCCUCCGUGCUGCUGUCCACCUUGGUGUUGCUGCUGGGCCACGUGACCCACAGGCAGGGCAGGUGACCGUCCCGGGCCAACGUGCCCUCGUGGGGCUCACUCCUGGAGGUUGUCAGCACCUGCCAGGAACAACGGAAGGAGCUGACCGAGUCCAGCCAUCACCCCAGAGGAACCUGCGGAACUAGGAGUGGCUGGCACGGUAUCCACCUGUCCUGAGAGGGGACCUAAAGACGGCUGGACCGCGCCAGCACAGACGCCCUGCAGAGCCAGGCUCUGGUGUGGACAGGAACCUCCUGAGCAAGGGACAGAACAGAAGGGGAGACAGACCAGGUGCUGCUCUUCAUGAGGAGGACAGUGCAUCCUUACUGUCAGGCCAUCUGACACCCUGCAUGUGAAGA
rnacentral:lncRNA from 1 species